AUACGGAAGGUGCGAGCGUUGUUCGGAAUCAUUGGGCGUAAAGCGCGUGUAGGCGGCUUGGUAAGUCGGGUGUGAAAUCCCGGGGCUCAACCCCGGAACUGCAUUCGAAACUGCCUCGCUAGAGUCCCGGAGAGGAAGGCGGAAUUCCCGGUGUAGAGGUGAAAUUCGUAGAUAUCGGGAGGAACACCAGUGGCGAAGGCGGCCUUCUGGACGGUGACUGACGCUGAGACGCGAAAGCGUGGGGAGCAAACAGGAUUAGAAACCCCGGUAGUCC
rnacentral:rRNA from 1 species